UGGGGAAUAUUGGACAAUGGGCGAAAGCCUGAUCCAGCCAUGCCGCGUGUGUGAAGAAGGUCUUCGGAUUGUAAAGCACUUUAAGUUGGGAGGAAGGGCAUUAACCUAAUACGUUAGUGUUUUGACGUUACCGACAGAAUAAGCACCGGCUAACUCUGUGCCAGCAGCCGCGGUAAUACAGAGGGGGCAAGCGUUAAUCGGAAUUACUGGGCGUAAAGCGCGCGUAGGUGGUUUGUUAAGUUGGAUGUGAAAGCCCCGGGCUCAACCUGGGAACUGCAUCCAAAACUGGCAAGCUAGAGUACGGUAGAGGGUGGUGGAAUUUCCUGUGUAGCGGUGAAAUGCGUAGAUAUAGGAAGGAACACCAGUGGCGAAGGCGACCACCUGGACUGAUACUGACACUGAGUUGCGAAAGCGUGGGGAGCAAACA
rnacentral:rRNA from 1 species